CUGCUUUGCAACCUCUGCUGAUCAGAGCUCGACGCUGGGAAAGCAGGAAAUGUAAUUCAAAAGUUCGCGGGGCUUUUCCUGUUUACAUGCCCGCUGCAUCCGAG